rnacentral:tRNA from 1 species
CAGGAAGUAGUUUAUUAAAAUAUUAAUUUUGGAGAUUAACGAUGAAAGAUUUUUCUUUCCUGA